GGAGUUUCUGCAGAUACAGGGUUGUGAUGAUCAAACAUGAGCGCUGAGCGUCAGAAGCGCAGGGAGGAGAUCCAGACAGGACUGAGCUUCAUCAAGUGUUCUCUGCCUUAUCCGGACCCUGAAGGCUUCG